rnacentral:rRNA from 1 species
AUUGAACGCUGGCGGCAGGCCUAACACAUGCAAGUCGAACGAGUGGCGGACGGGUGAGUAAUGUCUGGGAAACUGCCUGAUGGAGGGGGAUAACUACUGGAAACGGUAGCUAAUACCGCAUACCAUCGGAUGUGCCCAGAUGGGAUGAGCUUGUUGGUGGGGUAACGGCUCACCAAGGCGACGAUCCCUAGCUGGUCUGAGAGGAUGACCAGCCAAACUGGAACGGAGACACGGGCCAGACUCCUACGGGAGGCAGCAGUUGGGAAUAUUGCACAAUGGGCGCAAUCCUGAUGCAGCCAUGCCGCGUAUAUGAAGAAGGCCGUCGGUUUGUAAAGUACUUUCAGCGGUGAGGCGUUACCCGCAUAAGAAGCACCGGCUAACUCCGUGCCAGCAGCCGCGGUAAUAC